AUGUGUAAGGGACUAGCAGUUGGCAUCGAUCUUGGCACCACCUUGGAAUGGGUGUAUUCCAGCACAGCAAAUUGGAGAUCAUCGCCAAUGAUCAGGGCAACCGAACCACCCUGAGCUAUGUCACCUCUACUGGCACUGAACAACGCAUCCGUGUUGUUGCAAAGAACCAAACUGUGAUGAACCCUCACCAACACAGUUUUUGAUGCCAAACGACUGAUUGGACAGAUUCGAUGAUGCUGUUGUCCAGUCUGACAUGAAGCACUGAUGCUUCAUGGUGGUGAAUGAUGCUCGCAGGCCCAAGGUGCAGGUAGAAUAGGGGGAGACAAAGAGCUUCUACCCAAAGAUGUGUCCUCCAUGGUUCUGAUCAAAAUGAAGGAGAUGGCAGAAGCCUACCCUGGCAAGACUGUUACCAACGCUGUGAUCACAGUGCCCACCUACUUCAACGACUCUCACCAUCAGGCCACCAAAGAUGCUGGAACCAUUGCUGGUCUCAAUGUUCUUUGGACCACCAAUGAGCCAACUGCUGCUGCUAUUGCUUAUGGCCUGGACAAGAAGGUUGGGGCUAAAAGAGAUGUGCUGAUUUUUGACCUGGGAGGUGACACUUUCGAUGUGUCUAUCCUCACAGUUGAAAAUGGAAACUUUGAGGUCAAGUCCACAGCUAGAGACACCCAUUUAGGUGGAGAAGACUUUGACAACCACAUGGUCAGCCAUUUCAUCGCAGAGUUCAAGCGCAAGCAUAAGAAGGACAUCAGUGAGAACAAGAGAGCUGUCAGGCUCCUGUGCACUGCUUGUGAGCGGCUAAGUGCACCCUCUCUUCCAGCAUCCAGACGAGCAUUGAGAUAGAUCAUUUGUAUGAAGGAAUUGACUUCUGCACCUCCAUUAUCCAGGCUUGGUUUGAAGAGUUGACCUUUUCCGUGGCACCCUGGACCCUGUCGAGGAGGCUGUUUUGGAUGCCAAGUUAAACCGUCGCAGAUCUAUGACGUUGUCCUGGUGGGUGGUUCCACCAGAAUUCCCAAGAUCCAGAAGCUGCUUCAGGACUCUUCAAUGGGAAAGAGCUGAAUAAGAGCAUUGAUCCUGAUGAGGCUGUAGCUUUUGGUGCAGCUGUGCAGGCCAUCCUAUCUGGGGACAGGUCUGAGAACAUUCAGGAUCUGUUGCUGUUGGAUGACACUCCUCUCUCCCUUGACAUUGAGACUGCUGGUGGAGUCCUGACCGUGCUCAUCAAGCGCAACACCAGAAUUCCCACCAAGCAGAUGCUGACCUUCACCACCUACUCGGACAACCAGCCUGGUGUGCUCAUUCAGAUUUAUGAAGGUGAGCCUGCUAUGACCAAGGAUAAUAAUCUACUUGGUAAGUUUGAACUUACAACCAUACCACCUAUACACCAUGGCAUUCCCCCAAUUGAAGCCAUCUUUGAUAUUGAUGCCAACAGCAUCCUUAACAUCACUGCUGUGGAAAAAAGCACUGGGAAAGAGAACAAGAUCACCAUCACUAAUGACAAGGGCCGUUUGAGCAAGGAAGAUAUUGAGCAGAUGGUCCAGGAAGCUGAAAAGUGCAAAGCUGAAGAUUAGAAGCAGAGAGAAGCAGAGAGACAAGGUGUGUUGCAAGAAUUCACUGGAGUAUUACACAUUCAACAUGAAAGCAACUGUUGAAGGUGAAAAACUUCAGGACAGGAUCAAUGGUGAGGACAAACAUAAGAUUCUUGACAAGUACAAUGAGAUCUUCAAUCGGCUAGAUAAGAACCGGAUUGCAGAAAAGGAGGAAUUUGAACUUUAGCAGAAGGAGCUAGAGAAAGUCUAUACCAGAGUGCAGGGGGCAUGCCAGGAGGGAUGCCUGGGGGCUUCCCUGACAGAGGAGCUCCUCCUUCCCAGGUGCUUCCACAGGGCCCACCAUUGAGGAGGUGGAUUAA